rnacentral:misc_RNA from 1 species
AUCUGACAUGUUCAGAUUAAAUUCACCAACCUCCAUGUGCACCACUGUGCCUGUAGUAGAUAUAUUAUUGGCAAAGACAUGUGAUGACUGUGAACAACCAUGAUAGAGUGGAGAGCCAUUCAAAUCAUAGAGCACUACAGUCAUUUCUGGGGCUGAAAUAGUUGAGGUCCACAUGAAUGCUUUAUGAUCAUAUGAGUGAGAU